GGGUUGUGAGGUUAAGUGACUAAGCGUACACGGUGGAUGCCCUGGCAGUCAGAGGCGAUGAAGGACGUGCUAAUCUGCGAUAAGCGUCGGUAAGGUGAUAUGAACCGUUAUAACCGGCGAUUUCCGAAUGGGGAAACCCAGUGU
rnacentral:rRNA from 1 species